GUCAGAUGCACGAGUUUCAUGGUGGGAAUAGCUCCGAUUGAUGAGGAGUUUAUUGUCAUCUGGUUCUCCUGUUGCUAGCUGCAGCCAGCCAGGCCGCUCGCUCUCACGAGUCACUGUGCAAGCUUUAUCCAACCUAAACCCUGUUGCAUACAUCUCCUAGGACGAUUUUAGGUCAUUGCGUGUCUUUGUGUGAUUUUACUGCGUUGUGAACGGAAGAUACAGAUAAGUUGGGUGUAUGUGUCCACAAGUUGAAGCUGAGAUUGAGGAAGAGGAUCGAAAGACAGGUCUCGUUGCGGCUGCAGGAGAAGGUCCUCAGCACUCAUUUCUUGCUACAAACCCCUGACGGAGUAGUUGUGUUGAGCCUGGGGUUAGAACCUUCUACUUUUUCUAAUCAGUCAUUCACUCAGCUUUGCACCAUGAUGAGCACCGACCAGUGAGAAUCGUCGUAGGGACUUUUGGGAAGGCGGUAGGCGAGGACAACAUACAGUCCAGUUCCGGUAUGUCAACAUAGUUCAGUCCAACAUAGCCAUGGCCCGAUGUGUACCGUUGGAGAAGAACAGUGGCGUAUUCGCUGCUACAAGAGAAUGUCUUCUGGAAAGAGAGUGCGGAAUCCGAAAUAGUUGACGUGGAAUGAAACCAGCUGGCAUCCUCAUCCUAAAAUGAAUACAAGAACCUCAAGCAGAAGCGUAGGAACAGCCAGCAAUGACGAGAAAAGCUGGUGGCAAGAGAGGCACGCGAAACCAAGCUUCUGGAUUAUAGUUGCAAUGGGGUGUUCUCACCCUGCUUCACGUCAUAUGGUCUUUCUAUUCGGUUGUGGAUAGUACUAAUGGAAAUCCUGAAUGUGGGUUUCUUCUAUGUUCCUCACAACACCUCGUGUCCUUUACAGAAAACUCAGAGGCCUGGGUAUCGGAGGAAUGAAAAGAAGCGAUGGUUUUCAACCUUAGUAUUCAGAGCCAUUUUCAAAUGUGGGCCUGAAUUACUUCAAGUGAAGUUUUUCAGCAUUUGUGGCCAUCAUGUCUUCUUUGCAAUCCCUGCAAGUUCAAGAACCUCUCUGGAUUGUUAUGAAGUGUGAAGAUUAUGCAUGUGCAAGCGACUUGUGCUUUAAUGAUAGUCACGGGUGGCAUCUCACGUAAUACAAGUUGCAACAUGAGUAAUAUUUUCACAUUUUAAUUGCAGGUAUGUUUCGGACAAUUAACUUGACGGUUCAUGUGAGGAAUCUGUCAUUGAAAACUUUGAUAUGUAGAUUUCUGCACACUGUGGUUGUCACAUCAAGGGUUUUUAACCAUUGUAAGGAAGUUCAGAUUUAACUGAUGAUUUCAUAGAUGGUUUAUAGAGGUCUAGAAGUUUAAAAUGAAAAAUGUCUAAGCUUCAAAGAAACAUGACAUCUUGCCAUUUGAAGCAAUUAGUUUUGACCCGCUUUGGAACAUGCAAUUUCUGUACAUUUGCUGUCAUUUGUUGAUAUUUUAUGCCAAAUGAAGUGAAGUUUACAACUAUGUACGUCAUGGCACUUUUGUUCUAUCUGACAGAGCGGAUAGAAAUCUGAAUUUGUGCGGUUUUGCCAUAAGAAAGGAGUGUCCUAGUGAUCCUCCACUUCCAAAUCCUACGAACAUUAACAAUAUUGAUACCUCAUUAACAAUAUUGUGUUUCUACCUCAAUUUUUCAUGUUUGCAUUUCAGGAUGUGAUGACUAAAAGACUGAUUUUUUGAGUUCGUUGGUAUGUGACAAGUUAUUUCUUUGAACUUUGAUCCUGCUUGGUUCCUCUUCUAAUUCCCACCACGUGUGUAGACAGAGAAUGCGAAAAGUAAGACGGUAUAUCUGUUGGUGGAGUGACUCUAUUCAAAACAAGACGUCUUUGAUGUGAAUAGUACUAGUUAAAUUUGCCAAUAGAUCGCCCGAUUCACGAUUCUUAUACUUGCUUCAUGCAGAAUUCAGAGCUGUUUAGAGUCAAUAUACAAAAUCAACAUGCUAAUCAACACAACGUGAGUUUAUUCUCCAAUCUCUUCGGCAUAUGUCUAACUUAAAAUGUGUAAAAACGACGUUCCAGAGCAACAAGACCCUGAUGUGCUACUUCGGUGGCUCAAGAGAUUUUCACAUUGCUGCAGACAAUUCCAGUAAUGUAAGCAUUCUUGGUAAGGGUUGUUUUAGAAAUACCUACAAGGGCCAUGUAUCUCAUGGUUCAAGUGUUGCUGAAAGAUGAUGAUAGUCUUUGCCAUGGAAGGCAAUUUUAAGACUGAAGUUGACAUAGUUUCCCUUACAAUGUAUAUGAUUAUUUAUUUAUUAUUAUUAUUAUUAUUUUUGUUUA